UACGGAGGGUGCAAGCGUUAUCCGGAUUCACUGGGUUUAAAGGGUGCGUAGGUGGGUUGGUAAGUCAGUGGUGAAAUCUCCAGGCUUAACUUGGAAACUGCCAUUGAUACUAUCAAUCUUGAAUACCGUGGAGGUCAGCGGAAUAUGUCAUGUAGCGGUGAAAUGCGCAGAUAUCAGGAGGAACACCAGUGGCGAAGGCGGCUCACUGGUCCGGUACUGACGCUGAUGUGCGAAAGCGUGGGGAGCAAACAGG
rnacentral:rRNA from 1 species